rnacentral:lncRNA from 1 species
AAGGAACAUGUGAUUGAGGCUCUGCGCAGGGCCAAGUUCAAGUUCCCUGGCUGCCAGAAGAUCCACAUCUCAAAGAAAUGGGGUUUCACCAAGUUCAAUGCAGAUGAAUUUGAAGACAUGGUUGCUGAGAAGCAGCUCAUUCCUGAUGGCUGUGGUGUCAAAUAUAUCCCCAAUCGUGGUCCUCUUGACAAGUGGAGAGCCCUGCAUUCCUGAAGGCUUCCACAGUGCUCUCCUAUACCCUAUCAAAUCAUGUUCAAUAAUAAAUCUCACAUCAAAUCUG